UGCGUAGGCGGCCGUUUAAGUAGGGUGUGAAAUGCCAGAGCUCAACUUUGGCAUUGCGCUCUAGACUGAAUGGCUUGAGUGAGAUAGGGGUGUGCGGAACUUCCAGUGGAGCGGUGAAAUGUGUUGAUAUUGGAAGGAACGCCGGUGGCGAAAGCGGCACACUGGGUCUUAACUGACGCUGAGGCAAGACCAGGGAGGCGACG
rnacentral:rRNA from 1 species